AGAGUUGAUCAUGGUCCUCAGGAUGAACGCUGGCGGUGCGCCUAAUGCAUGCAAGUCGAGCGACGCAUUCCGGAGGGGUAACCCACUGGAAUGACGGAGCGGCGAACGGGUGAGUAACACGUGAGCAACCUGCCCCACAGAUCGGGAUAGCCCAGGGAAACCUGGAUUAAUACCGGAUAUCCUCCUAGGACCGCAUGGUCCAUUGAGGAAAUGCCUUUGUGCUGUGGGAUGGGCUCGCGAUUUAUCAGCUAGUUGGUGGGGUAACGGCCUACCAAGGCAUCGACGAAUAGCUGGUCUGAGAGGACGAUCAGCCACACUGGAACUGAGACACGGUCCAGACUCCUACGGGAGGCAGCAGCAGGGAAUCUUGCGCAAUGGGCGAAAGCCUGACGCAGCGACACCGCGUGGGGGAUGAAGGCCUUCGGGUUGUAAACCCCUUUCAGGAGGGAAGAAAUUGACGGUACCUCCAGAAGAAGCACCGGCCAACUACGUGCCAGCAGCCGCGGUAAUACGUAGGGUGCAAGCGUUAUCCGGAAUCAUUGGGCGUAAAGAGCUCGUAGGCGGUUCAGCAAGUCGGCUGUGAAAGUUCGAGGCUCAACCUCGAAAUUGCAGUCGAUACUGCUGUGACUCGANUCCGGUAGAGGAGAAUGGAAUUCCCGGUGUAGCGGUGAAAUGCGCAGAUAUCGGGAGGAACACCAGUAGCGAAGGCGGUUCUCUGGGCCGGCACUGACGCUGAGGAGCGAAAGCG
rnacentral:rRNA from 1 species